rnacentral:lncRNA from 1 species
GUCUCCUUGGGGAGCUUAACUUGGACUUGAAGCUACUCCUUCUCAAGCAUAAUUCUGGUGGCUGUGUUGACACCUGAUUGGCGGAAAAGUUGAGAGAGGUAGCCAUUUUUUGUUCUUUAUUUUUUUAUUUUUUUUUUCAAAACGAAGGAUCCGUUUUAUAAUCUUCGAGACUUCGAGAGUUCGAGCAGUAGCUAUUAUCAAAUCUGUCUGUAUGUGUUGGUCUAAAGCCUUACCAUUUAGCUUAAAUUAGUCCUAGUCAUCAUCCAAAUCAAUUAGUAAAAAUUAAAGCACAAAUUUUACCACGUACGAAUUGAUGUAUAAAUCUUAUAUGGAAUUAUACAUAUGUGUGUGUAUAUAAAACAUCAUAAACAACAAUAAAAUUACUUAACAUGUACUAAUUUAGAAUAUUAGUAUUCAAUUAGGCAUGAUAAUAUUUUGAAAAUAUAUUAGCAUAUUUAUGUUCUUUAAGAUAUUAUUAAUUGUUUAACAUUUAUAAUUUGUAAGGACAUAUGUGUAAAAAUACUAGUUUUCAAAAUUUUUUUAGGUUAAAAAAAUAAACAAGUUAAUACCUAUUUGUAGCAAUUCAAACAGAAAAAAAAAACAUAUUAUUUAAAUUUGAAUAUUCGGUGCUAUUCAUAAUUCCGGUCUAUUCAUAUUUCAGAUUAAAAAAAACACACCUUUAGUGUUUAAUUUUUACUCACUGACUGAGAAUUAUUUGUAGUGAGAAUUAUUUAAAAAACAUAUUAUUUAAAUUUGAAUAUUCGGUGCUAUUCAUAAUUCAGGUCUAUUCAUAUUUCAGAUUAAAAAAAACACAUCUUUAGUGUUCAAUUUUUACAUGAAGCUUUCAAAAGUGAAGACAUUAUUAAUGCCAUCUUACAGUCAGUCAUUCAAUGCCUUCAUCUGUUUAUUGCACUAAGGACAUUUCUAUCUAAAAGACUCCGGGAGAAUUGAAGCGUGAAGCUGUAGCAGGAGUUGUUUCUGAACUCCCGAUUGGAUGAACUUUUGAGGGAUUGUUAUAUAUUCUAUGCUCAUCAAUUGAGGAGAGCCUCUGGCACCUUGCUCUUUGAGUCGGACUGCAUAUAUUCUGUUGUCUUCUGUUCAGAGCCUGAAAAGGUUGCCUACAAACCUGAUUUCAGUGAUCUCUUGGUUGUGUCCAGAACAUGCGGGGUGCUGUUCAAAAUAUAUUCCUCUUUGUUGAUAAAAAGUCUUGGGAAGUAAUUAUGAUAUCCGUAUUUAACUAUAAUCAUCAUCUUUCUGAUUCUGAC